ACGUCUGGUAUCUCCACAGGUAUUUUGGCUUUAUUAGCAAACAUCCAGCGGAUGAGAGGUUCGCCUGUCACGUCUUUGUGUCGGAGAUCUCCACCAAACCGCUUGCAGAGUCUGUGAGGAAAGCUUUCCAGUUGUACUAUAAAGAGUUUGUGGAGGUCUCGUGUCCAACAGAAGACAUCUACCUGGAAUAAUCUCGGACUACAACACAGCAGUGUAUAUCACGACUAUGCUACAUGAG